rnacentral:rRNA from 1 species
CCCUUAGAUGUUCUGGGCCGCACACGCGCUACACUGAAGGAGGCAGCGUGUACUCCUGGAUCGAAAGAUUUGGGUAACCCGCGAAUCUCCUUCGUGCUAGGGAUUGAGGUUUGCAAUUAUCCUUCAUGAACGAGGAAUUCCCAGUAAGUGCAAGUCAUAAGCUUGCGCUGACUACGUCCCUGCCCUUUGUACACACCGCCCGUCGCUACUACCGAUUGAAUGAUUUAGUGGGGACUUCGGACUGGGACCGAUGCGGCUUUCGGGCUGCGUCGGUAUUCUGGAAAGAUGUCCAAACUGUAUCAUUUAGAGGAAGUAAAANUCGUAACA